rnacentral:lncRNA from 10 species
CCUGACCUCAAGUGAUCCACCUGCCUCGGCCUCCCAAAGUGCUGGGAUUACAGGCGUGAGCCACUGCACUGGGCCACUGAUAUUUUUAGAUUUAAGAAAAGAUUCACAUAAUGUUACAUCACAAAGGUAAGGAAACCAAACUGUAUAUAAAACAUGAUCCCAAUUUUGCAUUUCAAAAAAAGGAAAGUAUUUGGAGAAAAAAAGUGUGGAAAGAAACAGGGAGAGAGAUGUGUGGAAAACAUAGGAAAAUAUAUUAAAUGUUCAUGGUGGUUGUUUAAGAUGAUAGAAUUCUCAUGAGUGAUUUUUAUUUUAUGUCUUCUUUAAUUUUCUAUAUUUUCUAAACUUUCUACAAUGCAUGUGCAUUAAUUUGAAAGUAGGAAAAAAGAGAAUUAAGUCAAAUAUUACUGCUUUAAAGUUAUGCUGAAUUUUUAAAGCACUAUUUUCUUUAUGUAUUUCUGGAUUUUCUGCACAUUUCAACAAUGAUUAAAUAUUAUUUUUUUAUUUUUAUUUUUUGUAGAUAUGGGGUUUUGCCAUGUUGUCCAGGCUGGUCUUGAACGCCUGAGCUCAAACAAUCUGCCCACCUCAGCCUCCCAAAGUGUUGGGAUUACAGGCGUGUGCCACUUCCCCCAACCAAUAUUAUUUUUAGACUAAGAAAAGUUUUAUUUGAAAAUGUUAUUUUGGCUGGGUGCAGUGGCUCACACCUGUAAUCCCAGCACUUUGGGAGGCUGAGGUGGGGGGAUCACGAGGUCAGGAGAUCGAGACCAUCCUGGCUAACAUGGUGAAACCCCGUCUCUACUAAAAAUACAAAACAUUAGUCAGGCGUGGUGGCGGGCACCUGUAGUCCCAGCUACUCUGGAGGCUGAGGCAGGAGAAUGGCGUGAACCCAGGAGGCGGAGCUUGCAGUGAGCCGAGAUCGCACCACUGCACUCCAACCUGGGCAACAGAGCGAGACUCCGUCUCAAAAAAAAAAAGUUAUUUUGGGUGCUCUAGCAAUUCUGGAUAUAUAACCAAAAUAAUUGAAAGCUGGGACUUUCUGGCUGGGCAUGGUGGCUCACGCCUAGCACUUUGGGAGGCUGAGGUGGGAGGAUCACUUGAGCUCAGGAGAUCAAGAUCAUCCUGGGCAAAACAGUGAGACCUCAUCUCUAUUGUUUUUGAAAUAAAAUAAUAUUUAAAAAAAGAAAGCAGGGACUGUCAAUUGGGCACUUGAAUGGACAACCCAAGUGUCAAUUGAUGGAUAAGUGGAUACACAAAAUGUGGUCCAUCCACACAAUGGAAUAUUAUGCAGCCUUAAAAAAGGAAAGGGCUGGGUGUGGUGGCUCAUGCCUGUAAUCCCAGCACUUUGGAAGGCCGAAACGGGCAGAUCAUCUGAGGUCAGGAGUUCGAGACCAGCCUCGCCAACAUGGUGAAACCCUGUCUCUACAAAAAUACAAAAAAAAAUUAGCUGGGUGUGGUGGCGGGCGCCUGUAAUCCCAGCUACUCCGGAGGCUGAGGCAGGAGAAUCGCUUGAACCCAAGAGGUGGAGGGUGCAGUGAGCUGAGAUCGAGCCAGUGCACUCCAGCCCAGGUGACAAGAGUGAGACUCUGUCUCAAAAAAAAAAAAAAAAAAAAAAAGGAAGGAAAGUCUGACACAGUGACACACGCUGCAACAUGAAUGAACCAGAGGACAUUAUGCCCAAUGAAA